rnacentral:rRNA from 1 species
AUGUCGAUCUUUCUAUUUAUCAUCGGUGUGUGCUUUCUGCUUUCCAGCUCCAAGGCGCAGGCGCAGUCAUGCAAAUCCUCCGGCUCCAACCUUGCUCUGGCGGACACUAGUCUCACCUGGACAACUGUUGAGUACGAUCGAGUUAACCAGGGCUAUCUGUUCCUCACGGAUUCAGGUACCUUGCUGCUUGAUACACAGAGCGCCAUCCCUCAACAAGAGACUACACUCAGCUCCUACAGAAAUGGUACGUCUUCGAACUCGCCUGGGCUGUACCUUCCAUGGGGAUAUAUCUGGUACGGGGGAAUCUUCAGGCUUAGCUUCAACAUGGGCGUCCACUACGAGCCGGCGGACAGCCCGACACCGGCGAGUAGGAAGCUGGUCGUGGCCAUAUUACCCGCAUACGACUUCAACGGCAACCAGAACCGUGACAUGUCCAUAAAACUACCACCCGAGAUCAGCCAGCAAAACAGAUCUGCUUCUGAUUCUGCCCAGAUGCGUUCAUGUACAUGGCCUCUCUACGCUGCCGCAACUACUGCCUGCGUGCAAAUUUCUAUAGAGCCGGGGAGGAGGAGCUCCGUCGUACAAGCUUUCCUUGCAUACGACCCUCUUGGGAAACGGUUGUCGGUCAGCGUCGGCGACGCUGCACGGAACCCAGAGGCUCCCUACGCCGCCGCCACCUCCAUGGCCUUCGAAUUGGGAGAAAUGCUAGCGGGGGGCCGAGCUGGCCAAAUUGGUCUUUUCUCCUCUGUCGGGCAGCUCGCUCAGCUCCAGAGCUGGAACCUCACGGUCGACCGGCCUCUCCCCAAGCAAGGCUCCCAAAGGUGGGUCGUUAUUCUGUCCUCGGUGCUGGGCUCCGUAGCUGCCACACUUGUCGCGGCCACCGCUGUGUACUGCUACCUCAACUCGAAAUACAGACGGUGGAAGAAGGAGCUGGACGAGCUGGCCAAGACCAUGCAGAGCCUCCCCGGUGUGCCGAUGCACAUCGACUUCGCAGACAUCAACAAGGCCACCAACAACUUUGACGACACGAUGAAGCUUGGGCGGGGCGGAUUUGGGGCCGUCUACGGGUGCACGCUUCCUGCUGCUGCUUCAAGGACUGGGCAGGCCAUGAAGGUGGCCAUCAAGAAGUUCACGCGGGAACUCCAGGACCGGCGCUACCAAGACUUCCUCGCGGAGGUCAGCAUCAUCAACCGUCUACGGCACAAGAACGUUGUCCCACUUGUCGGCUGGUCCUACAACAAAGGAGAGCCCCUGCUCAUAUACCACCUCAUGAAGAAUGGUAGCUUGGACCAGCAUCUGUUCCCGAAUGGUGGCUUUGGCCGGGGGCCAGAUGGAGCUAUUGGGCAAUGGGACACCCGCUACGGCAUUGCCAGGGAUAUAGCUACAGGUCUGCACUACCUUCAUCACGAGCACGAGCCCAUGGUGCUGCACCGUGACAUCAAGGCAAGCAAUAUCAUGCUCGACUCCACCUUCUGUGCUCGGCUUGGUGACUUCGGUAUCGCCUGCACGGUCGCUGCAGACAGGAGCUCCAUCACCGGCAUGGCGGGAACCAUUGGCUACAUAGCGCCAGAGAGCUUCUACAGGUUCAGGGCCGCACGACAGACUGAUGUAUAUGCAUUUGGGGUGCUUAUCCUUGAGGUGGUUUCUGGCAAGAAGAGUUCAGACGUUCCAGCAGAGGAUGGCCACAUCAGUCUCUGGGCGCGGCGCCUUCACCGCGAGGGUACGCUACUGGAGGCCUUAGAUGGUAUGUUUGUCUCAUCAGGGAAGGAUCAACCUCAUGUUGUGGAGGAGGCCAAACGCUUACUGCUGCUUGGCAUGGCUUGCACCAGCCUCAAUCCGUCCAGUCGCCCGAGCAUGACGGAUGUACUUCAGGUUAUCAACAAGUUGGCGCCACCACCGGACGUGUCACUUGAGCAACCAACACUACCGUGGCUGCCAGGAGGAGAGUGGUCUUUAGUCAGCUCUGAAUACGGUGCAGCAGCAAUGUCUAACAAUUAA